AUGGAGGAGGAACAUAUUCGCUGGCACCAUCCGCCUUUCAUGCCCGCAACCUCCUUCUAUCGGUCGUUAGUCAUGGUGUUGGCACGUCCUAUAAGUUCGCGCGUCCAAGUUGUAUCAUCACUUCGUCAAUGUUCAUUGCAUUUCAGAAUACCGAUGGGUCCUUCACUGCACAUCCAUCGAUGGCAAUAUAUGAGCCGGUUCUUUUGGGUUAGGAUGGGUC